ACGUGCCAGCAGCCGCGGUAAGACGUAGGACGCGAGCGUUAUCCGGAAUUACUGGGCGUAAAGGGCCAGUAGGCGGUUUGGUAAGUUGUGCGUGAAAGCCUCGUGCUCAACGCGAGGAAGCCGGACAAUACUGUCAAGCUAGAGGGCAUCAGAGGGGAGUGGAAUUCCCGGAGUAGCGGUAAAAUGCGCAGAUAUCGGGAGGAACACCGAUGGCGAAGGCAGCUCCCUGGGGUGUACCUGACGCUGAGGGGCGAAAGCUAGGGGAGCGAACAGGAUUAGAGACCCUGGUAGUCCUAGCUGUAAACGCUGGGUGCUAGGUGUGGGGCGUAGAAGCUCUGUGCCGCAGCAAACGCGAUAAGCAUCCCGCCUGGGAAUUACGGUCGCAAGGCUAAAACUCAAACGAAUUGACGGGGCCCCGCACAAGCAGCGGAGCGUGUGGUUCAAUUCGAUGCUACACGAAGAACCUUACCUGGGUUUGACAUGUACGUGGUAGAGAAGCGAAAGCGGAUUGACCCUUCGGGGAGCGUACACAGGUGCUGCAUGGCUGUCGUCAGCUCGUGCCGUGAGGUGUCGGGUUAAGUCCCGUAACGAGCGCAACCCUUGCCCUUAGUUACAAGUGUCUAGGGGGACUGCCGGCGGGAAGCCGGAGGAAGGUGGGGAUGACGUCAAGUCAGCAUGGCCCAUAUGUCCAGGGCUACACACACGCUACAAUGGUCGGUACAAAGGGUAGCGAAGCCGCGAGGCGGAGCGAAUCUCAUCAAAGCCGGUCGUAGUUCGGAUUGCAGGCUGCAACCCGCCUGCAUGAAGCUG
rnacentral:rRNA from 1 species